CCUACGGGAGGCAGCAGUGAGGAAUAUUGGUCAAUGGGCGCAAGCCUGAACGAGCAAUGCCGCGUGAACGAGGAAGGUCUUCGGAUCGUAAAGUUCUGUUGAAGGGGAAAAAGAGCGGAGAGAGGAAAUGAACUCCGAUUGAUAUUACCCUUCGAGGAAGUCACGGCUAACUACGUGCCAGCAGCCGCGGUAAUACGUAGGUGGCGAGCGUUAUCCGGAAUGAUUGGGCGUAAAGGGUGCGUAGGCGGCCUGCUAAGUCUGGAGUGAAAGGUACCGGCUCAACCGGUACAGGCUCUGGAAACUGGCGGGCUAGAGAGCAGGAGAGGGCGGUGGAACUCCAUGUGUAGCGGUAAAAUGCGUAGAUAUAUGGAAGAACACCAGUGGCGAAGGCGGCCGCCUGGCCUGUUACUGACGCUGAGGCACGAAAGCGUGGGGAGCAAAUAGGAUUAGAUACCCGGGUAGUC
rnacentral:rRNA from 1 species